AUGAUCUUAAGUGUACUGCUGCCUUCUUUCGGAGAAACCGGGACUGUACGCGAUGUACAGCCUUAAACACACACACAGAGUGAGAGAUAAACACACUCUCCCUCUAGUGUUGACCUCUAUAUCUACCAUACAUGUCAUGUAAAAAGAUCCUGGAAUUGAGAGACUCCACCUGCAGGUCAGCGGGCGGAGAGGAUGACGACAGUGUAAAGCAAAGGCAGCACAUCGUAGAAAAGGGGACAGAGGCUUGAGUAACAGUGGGUGGUGGAUGAGGACUAUGAGGGUUCUGGAUGAAUCAGUAGAGACCCACCUAUCACACCCUGCAGUGGAUAAACAAGAGGAUUACCUUCUCUUUUUAUCUGCCCAAGGUGAUCCUCCCACGAGAGGAUGAAGCAGCCACUCAACUCUCUGUCAAAUGUCCACGGAGGAUACUUUGAUUGCAAAGACUGGCCAUUUAUAUUUAUGAGUCUGUGUGUGUGGGUUUUUUCUGCUGAAUGUAACAAGAAAAAAAAAAUGAUGGUAGUGACAGAAUUAUUGUAUUGACAAAGAAUAGUCAACAGUUUUUAUUCUGGAAUAAAUCGCCCUGAUGCCUUUGUC